CUAAAAACAAAUCAUUAAGUAUUAUCUAAAGUCAAAUUGCACCAACUGUCUGACUGAGGCUGGUCCAAGUCUGGCCUUAUCAGCAUUCAGCACCACUGCCCCAGGAUGGAUGAGGAAACAGAACACCACUAAAGGGUAAGCCAGAGACAGAGGGCCCCUGUUCUUGUUUGUUCUGCAAAGCCCUUUAUGUUCUUCUGGAAGAUAGAAAAAGAUAUAUCUGACUGAGAAACAGAACUUUUCACUAUCUUUGAUCAACUGGCUAGAAGAUGUCUCUUUUUCUCUCACUUCUGCUCUUUGCAGGCACUGCAGGAACUCACAUCUCCUGGCAUUGGGAUUGGCAUGGUGUUCAAGGCUGCUCGUCUGCAGGCCAGUACUACCUUCCAGGCAUGUGAUGCAUGGAUAAAUAUGGGCUGUUUCACCAGAGAGACAGUACCCCAGACAUUGUUGAGAAGAGAAGGGAAAUGCAGGAGCCCCUCUGGACUCUGGGUGCUACCAGCUCUCCAGGCAGGGUCCUUGCCUACCUCUCCUGCCUCCUGCAGUUUGGGGACAUGAACUCGUAUUGAAGGGCAAGAGAUACAAGUCUCCAAGCUUGACUUCUAUGCUGUGUGGCUUCCUGAGAGCAAGCAUUGAAUGACACUCCCUGGUUUUGGUUGUUUGUUUUUUUUUUUAAAUUUGCCCGCCAGAUCUGGAACUGAAACCAUCAAUUCAUUUCACUGACGAUCUCAUUCUCAACUCAAGUCAGCAAUAGCUGCCUCAGCUAGCACCAGGCUUCUACCCACUGAAUCAGCUCCUAUGGGAAU
rnacentral:lncRNA from 1 species